UCAUGAAUUGAUACCGCAUUUUUGAACUCCUCCCUGCUUCCAAAUGUAUAUUCUAAUGCUAAUAUAGGAUGUUUUGCUUCAGUUUUUGGGUUAUGCUUUGGAAAAUGAAAGCACUCAUUAUCAGAAUCACCAUUCAAACUCUUCUGAUCUUCAGAGUCCACACAAUCUGAAUCUCCAUCUUCAUUAGACAAUUUCCUCAGAACUUUGUCGUUAAUAAGUUUCCUUCCAUCCUCAAAGCUUUGCUUUUUUUGUCCAUGUCUUUCAAGGAUGACAUCGUCACCGGAUAAUUCAUUUUCUGAAUCUUCAAACUCAUCAGAAUUGUAUGUGUCACCACAUUAUAUAUGCUCUUGGUUUAAUGUACAAUUUGUGUGGCCUAUAAUCUCACCUGAAUCUACUUCAAUGUAGGAGUCCAAAUGUUCAAAAUACAACUCAAC
rnacentral:lncRNA from 1 species